rnacentral:rRNA from 1 species
UGGGGAAUUUUGGACAAUGGGGGCAACCCUGAUCCAGCAAUGCCGCGUGUGUGAAGAAGGCCUUCGGGUUGUAAAGCACUUUUGUCCGGAAAGAAAACGCCGUGGUUAAUACCCGUGGCGGAUGACGGUACCGGAAGAAUAAGCACCGGCUAACUACGUGCCAGCAGCCGCGGUAAUACGUAGGGUGCAAGCGUUAAUCGGAAUUACUGGGCGUAAAGCGUGCGCAGGCGGUCCGCUAAGACAGAUGUGAAAUCCCCGGGCUUAACCUGGGAACUGCAUUUGUGACUGGCGGGCUAGAGUAUGGCAGAGGGGGGUAGAAUUCCACGUGUAGCAGUGAAAUGCGUAGAGAUGUGGAGGAAUACCGAUGGCGAAGGCAGCCCCCUGGGCCAAUACUGACGCUCAUGCACGAAAAGCGUGGGGAGCAAACAGGAUUAGAUACCCUGGUAGUCCACGCCCUAAACGAUGUCAACUAGUUGUCGGGUCUUCAUUGACUUGGUAACGUAGCUAACGCGUGAAGUUGACCGCCUGGGGAGU